GGAUGCGAUCAUACCAGCACUAAAGCACCGGAUCCCAUCAGAACUCCGAAGUUAAGCGUGCUUGUGCGAGAGUAGUACUAGGAUGGGUGACCUCCUGGGAAGUCCUUGUGUUGCAUUCC
rnacentral:rRNA from 1 species